rnacentral:lncRNA from 1 species
AAAGAAGGAACCUUGCUCAAGAGGUUAACCCUGCAUCUUAAGCUGCGAGUAACAUAGCUCCUGAGCUCUCUCAUCCUCCUCCUCCCAUCCCAAACUAGCUGCCACUGAGAUCACCAUCCAGCAGCCCUUGUAAACUCUAUGGCCAUUUCGUCGAAAACCGCUGCUGCUGUGCUCAUGUUGCUUCUCACCACCACCUGCUUCGUGCACCUCCCUGCGCCGACUCGUGCAAGGAAGCUGGAAGUGAGGGUACCUAUCAUCAGCACACACCAUUAUCCAUGCACUGGAAGGAGUGUUCUACAGGUGCCUGCAGCAAAUAAGGAGACCAGUUCAGGCCAUAGCCCCUGCUGUGGCCAUGGCAGCAGUCCUCCGAGCUCAUGAAACGAUCUUCUAGCUCCUCCUCGUCGCUGCGUCUGUCACCGUCCUUGCUGCGAGUUUGUUUUUUUACCAGUGUGUCCAUAACUAUGUGGUGCUUUUCUCGAGCUUUCAUGUGUCUGUUGAAACUUGAAAAUGCCAUAGGGCAUGUAGCACGUAAAUUGUAAAACUCUUGUUGUCUUCUUUUACUAAUAAAGGCAGAGCUCACGCAGCGUUUUCAAAAAAGGAAAAUGGUUACCAGCAGCAAAAACCUCUACAUCCGUGCCUUUGCCUUCAUGCUUCGUUUUCCCUCUCUUGUGCAUGGUCAUGGAUGACUUUUGUUAACGCUAGGUGUCUGGCGUGUUGUAGGGUUCUACGAUAAAAUGAAACACAUGUAAAAGGAGCAUUUUUUUGUUAAUAAAACAAAAAUAGAUAGUAGUUACAUUCAACGUAUAUAGAUGAUCAAAACCCAUGAAAGCAAAUGGAGUAGGAGUACUAU